GGCCACAUCAGAUUGAAGCACCAGUUCUCAUAUGAUCACCAAAGUUAAGCAAUGUCGAGUCUGGCCAGUAUUUAGAUGGGUGGCUGUUUGGAGAGACCGGGUGCUAUA